AAUCAGGUCCGUCUUAUCGUUCCAAAUUUAUUUUGGGAAGGAAAGUCCGGACAGCAUAGAGUACCGUACUUCCUAACGGGAAGGCAGAUCGCGGGUGACGGCGAUUUGACAGCAAGUGCAACAGAAAGCAAACCGCCUCGUUUCAAUUUUUUUUCAGAACUCGGGGUAAGGGCGAAAGGGUGGGGUAAGAGCCCACCGCUCGAUUGGUGACAAGCGAGGCAUGGUAAACCUUACGGGCUGAAAGACCAAAUAAGUGCUGAUUUUGAAGUUACUCGCUUCAACCCUCUUUAAUGAGGUGUCGGUAUGGGUAGGUUGAUAGAUUCAGACGGCGACGUCUGAACCAGAUAAAUGAUAAGAGUCCUGAUGAAAGUCAGGAAACAGAAUCCGGCUUAUAAGACUUGAUACACU
rnacentral:RNase_P_RNA from 2 species